GACGAACGCUGGCGGCGUGCCUAAUACAUGCAAGUCGAACGCAGUGGGGACGGGUGAGUAACACGUGGGUAACCUCCCAUCAGAGGGGAUAAUACUUGGAAACAGGUGCUAAACCGAUACUGAUGGAUGGACCUGCGGUGCAUUAGCUAGUUGGUGAGGUAACGGCUCACCAAGGCCACGAUGCAUAGCCUGUCUGAGAGGGUGAUCGGCGGCACUGUGACUUAGACACAAGCGAGACUCCUACGGGAGGCAGCGGUGGGAGAUCUUCGACAAUGGGCGAAAGUCUAACAGAGUAACGGCGCGUGAGUGAAGAAGGUUUUCGGGUCUUAAAACUCUGUUGUUAGAGAAACGGUAUCUUACCAUAAUGCCACGGCUAACUGCGUGCCAGCCGCCGCGGUAAUUC
rnacentral:rRNA from 1 species